rnacentral:rRNA from 1 species
CUGGAAUCCUGAAGAGAUUUAGGAGUGCUCGCAAGAGAACCGGAACACAGGUGCUGCAUGGCUGUCGUCAGCUCGUGUCGUGAGAUGUUGGGUUAAGUCCCGCAACGAGCGCAACCCUUGCCAUUAGUUGCUACAUUUAGUUGAGCACUCUAAUGGGACUGCCGGUGACAAACCGGAGGAAGGUGGGGAUGACGUCAAGUCCUCAUGGCCCUUAUGGGUAGGGCUUCACACGUCAUACAAUGGUCGGGACAGAGGGUUGCCAAGCCGCGAGGUGGAGCCAAUCUCAGAAACCCGAUCGUAGUCCGGAUCGCAGUCUGCAACUCGACUGCGUGAAGUCGGAAUCGCUAGUAAUCGCGGAUCAGCAUGUCGCGGUGAAUACGUUCCCGGGUCUUGUACACACCGCCCGUCACACCAUGGGAGUGGGUUUCACCAGAAGUAGGUAGCCUAACCGCAAGGAGGGCGCUUACCACGGUGAGAUUCAUGACUGGGGUGAAGUCGUAACAAGGUAAGCGUAGUGCU